rnacentral:rRNA from 1 species
AAAGAAAAAAGGUGGAAUGGAUUUCGGGAUAUUCAUUGUUUUAACCUAGCCCUACUUGCAAAACAGUCUUGGAGAUUAAUUGAUAAUCCAGAUUCCUUUUGUGCUCGUGUUCUCAAAGCCAAAUAUUAUUCAGAUUGUGAUAUUUUGAAUGCAACUCUGAAAAAGAGAGCCUCAUUCACAUGGCAAAUUAUUAUGUCGGGGUGCCGACACUAA